GCCUACGUGUGUCAGCAGUGGGGAAUAUUGCACCAUGGGGGAAACCCUGAUGCAGCAACGCCGCGUGAGUGAAGGAGUAUUUCGGUAUGUAACGCUCUAUCAGUAGGGAAGAAGAAAGACGGUACCUGACUAAGAAGCCCCGGCAAACUACGUGCCAGCAGCCGCGGUAAUACGUAGGGGGCAAGGGUUAUCCGGAGUUACUAGGUGGAAAGGGAGCGUAGACGGCUGUGCAAGUCGGAAGUGAAAGCCCGUGGCUCACCCGCGGAACUGCUUUGGAAACUGUAUGGCUUGAGUACUGGAGAGGCAGGCGGAAUUCCUAGUGUAGCGGUGAAAUGCGUAGAUAUUAGGAGGAACACCAGUGGCGAAGGCGGCCUGCUGGACAGAAACUGACGUUGAGGCUCGAAAGCGUGGGGAGCAAACAGGAUUAGAUACCCGGGCAGUC
rnacentral:rRNA from 1 species